UUGUCCCCCUGAGGAGUGGCUUCCGGAGCUAACGCNUUUAANUCNACCCNCCUGGGGAGUNCGGCCGCAAGGUUAAAACUCAAAUGAAUUGACCGGGGGCCCGCACAAGCGGUGGAGCAUGUGGUUUAAUUCGAUGCAACGCGAAGAACCUUACCUACUCUUGACAUCCAGAGAAUUCGCUAGAGAUAGCUUAGUGCCUUCGGGAACUCUGAGACAGGUGCUGCAUGGCUGUCGUCAGCUCGUGUUGUGAAAUGUUGGGUUAAGUCCCGCAACGAGCGCAACCCUUAUCCUUUGUUGCCAGCGAUUCGGUCGGGAACUCAAAGGAGACUGCCGGUGAUAAACCGGAGGAAGGUGGGGAUGACGUCAAGUCAUCAUGGCCCUUACGAGUAGGGCUACACACGUGCUACAAUGGCGUAUACAAAGAGAAGCGAACUCGCGAGAGCAAGCGGACCUCAUAAAGUACGUCGUAGUCCGGAUUGGAGUNUGCAACUCGACUCCAUGAAGUCGGAAUCGCUAGUAAUCGUAGAUCAGAAUGCUACGGUGAAUACGUUCCCGGGCCUUGUACACACCGCCCGUCACACCAUGGGAGUGGGUUGCAAAAGAAGUAGGUAGCUUAACCUUCGGGAGGGCGCUUACCCACCUUUGUGAUUCCAUGANCUGGGGGAAGUC
rnacentral:rRNA from 1 species